rnacentral:rRNA from 1 species
ACACUCCUACGGGAGGCAGCAGUGGGGAAUUUUGGACAAUGGGGGCAACCCUGAUCCAGCAAUGCCGCGUGAGUGAAGAAGGCCUUCGGGUUGUAAAGCUCUUUUGUCAGGGAAGAAACGGUGGUGGCGAAUAACUACUACUAAUGACGGUACCUGAAGAAUAAGCACCGGCUAACUACGUGCCAGCAGCCGCGGUAAUACGUAGGGUGCAAGCGUUAAUCGGAAUUACUGGGCGUAAAGCGUGCGCAGGCGGUUGUGUAAGUCAGAUGUGAAAUCCCCGGGCUCAACCUGGGAAUUGCAUUUGAGACUGCACGGCUAGAGUGUGUCAGAGGGGGAUAGAAUUCCACGUGUAGCAGUGAAAUGCGUAGAUAUGUGGAGGAAUACCGAUGGCGAAGGCAGCCCCCUGGGAUAACACUGACGCUCAUGCACGAAAGCGUGGGGAGCAAACAGGAUUAGAUACCCUUGUAGUCCCA